CCUGAUGCAGCCAUGCCGCGUGUGUGAAGAAGGCCUUCGGGUUGUAAAGCACUUUCAGUCGUGAGGAAGGUAGUGUAGUUAACACCUGCAUUAUUUGACGUUACCUACAGAAGAAGCACCGGCUAACUCCGUGCCAGCAGCCGCGGUAAUACGGAGGGUGCGAGCGUUAAUCGGAAUUACUGGGCGUAAAGCGCAUGCAGGCGGCCUGUUAAGUCAGAUGUGAAAGCCCGGGGCUUAACCUCGGAAUUGCAUUUGAAACUGGCAGGCUAGAGUCUUGUAGAGGGGGUAGAAUUUCAGGUGUAGCGGUGAAAUGCGUAGAGAUCUGAAGGAAUACCAGUGGCGAAGGCGGCCCCCUGGACAAAGACUGACGCUCAGAUGCGAAAGCGUGGGGAGCAAACAGGAUUAGAUACCCUGGUAG
rnacentral:rRNA from 1 species